CUACGGGCUGCUGCAGUGGGGAAUAUUGCACAAUGGAGGAAACUCUGAUGCAGCAACGCCGCGUGGAGGAUGACGCAUUUCGGUGUGUAAACUCCUUUUAUAUGGGAAGAUAAUGACGGUACCAUAUGAAUAAGCACCGGCUAACUCCGUGCCAGCAGCCGCGGUAAUACGGAGGGUGCAAGCGUUACUCGGAAUCACUGGGCGUAAAGCGCGCGCAGGCGGGUUUGUAAGUUGGAUGUGAAAUCCUAUGGCUUAACCAUAGAACUGCAUCCAAAACUACUUACCUAGAGUCUGGGAGGGGAAGAUGGAAUUAGUGGUGUAGGGGUAAAAUCCGUAGAGAUCACUAGGAAUACCAAAAGCGAAGGCGAUCUUCUGGAACAGUACUGACGCUGAGGCGCGAAAGCGUGGGGAGCAAACAGGAUUAGAUACCCCCGUAGUC
rnacentral:rRNA from 1 species